AAAAGUGUGAUGUUUAGGAUGUUUCGCUCUUGUGUAGUACACCCUGUUCGUCACAAGUGCUUUUGGCCUUCUCUAUUCUUAGAGUGAAGUAAUUGAAUAUGCUGUCUGAUGAGGUUUUCCACUGUGCCCUUAACAUGUGUAAGGCAACUGUGGAACCAGCUCAUUUCACUUCGCCCUGGGCACUUGGCAUUUUUAAAAAGACUUGAAUCUGUAAAACCAACUCCGGGUAUGAAGCGUUCAGAGCAACUGGCUGAUUACCAGCGCCAAGCCGGUUACCUGGGAAUACGUUCUAUUUACCAGACCACCACAAAGAAAUCCUCCAGUAUAGGCCAUAUUCAAAACAAACCACCCCAUCAUGGUGCCAGAUCAACUUCCACUGCCACAGAGCUCAGCAGCACUCCUGCAUCCAGGACACGGAAACCCAAAGCAGCACCACCAGCCUGGAGUUGACCAGACAAUAAAGAGGAUAGAAACUAUCCUCCUCUGCUGUCUUUUUAUGUUAAUA
ensembl:lncRNA